rnacentral:antisense_RNA from 1 species
UGGGAGCUUAAGGGCCCCGGCACGCGUUCCCCUGGCGCAGAGCUCGCUAGCCGGGGCGCGGGCUGCCUCCUUGUUCUGGUGUGAUCCGAAUGUAACGGAGCGGACUUUGGGAUCCAGAACCCCGGACUGAGGUUGUGCUUGGCUUGAGGGGCGGGCUGGAUUUUUCCUCUUAGGAUUUAUUUCCCUGGAGACCUCAUGAAGAAUGAUGUGGGUUCUAUAGGGUACAGUGUGAUCUGGGUCCUGCCUAAUCUCCUUUCUAAACUUCAGAAAAUCAUGUACCUUGGAGUUGUGGAGGCAUGUUUAUAAGCAGAUCUGAGUUUUGCCACACUGGAAUUUAUUUAUUCAUUGAACAAAUAUUUAAUACCUACUACAAUUCUUAGCCGAUAUAUCAGCACAACUUCUCUGCUCCAACUAGUCUACAUUGCAAAGCAUCUCCUAGUGUCUUUGGAAGAAGGAUCUAUGGUGUUAUAUGUGAACAAAGAUGUAGACUAGUAAGGUGUCAAGAUUUGAUGGGGAUAUCCAGACAACUUGGAGCCAAGUCCCCACAGCUGGAUCAGACAACUUUUGGUGACAUCUCACAGUGUGGAUUAUCAAGCCAGUGUAUCAGUCUGGAGCCUAGGUUUUUUGCCUUUAGCUUUGCUCAGGAUGACUUCUGCUCUUCUAUGGCAAUACUUGAGAAGCUACAGCUUUGAUUAGACGAGAGGCUAUUUCAAUAACUUCCUCCUGAUAAGAAGACCACCGACCGUGGACGGAUUCUGGCCAGUUUAAAAAGGCUGCAUACCAUAGGGCAGGGCACCCCACUAUGGUAAACACUAAUAAUGAUAUUGCUCCUGAUUUUGUUUCUGAAGGGAAUGCCUCUAAGAUUUCUUCAUUAAUUAUAAGAGACUGGGUCUCACUCUGUUGCCC